rnacentral:sRNA from 1 species
CCGAGAUUGGAGCCUUCGCGCUCCGGCUGC